rnacentral:tRNA from 1 species
UGUCUUAUAGUUAAUUUAAUAACAUUAAACUGCAAUUUUAAAAUAAGCUUCAGCUUAAGACUU